rnacentral:rRNA from 1 species
UGCAGCGACGCCGCGUGAGCGAUGAAGGCCUUCGGGGUGUAAAGCUCUUUCGGCGGGGAAGAUAAUGACGGUACCUGGAGAAGAAGCUGCGGCUAACUACGUGCCAGCAGCCGCGGUAAUACGUAGGCGGCAAGCGUUGUUCGGAAUUACUGGGCGUAAAGGGUGCGUAGGCGGCUUUUUAAGUUUGGUGUGAAAUCUCCCGGCUCAACUGGGAGGGUGCGCCGAAUACUGAGAGGCUAGAGUGUGGGAGAGGAAAGUGGAAUUCCUGGUGUAGCGGUGAAAUGCGUAGAUAUCAGGAGGAACACCGGUGGUGUAAACGGCUUUCUGGACCAUUACUGACGCUGAGGCACGAAAGCGUGGGUAGCAAACAGGAUUAGAUACCCUGGUAGUCCACGCCCUAAACGAUGCAUAUUUGGUGUGGGCCAUUC